CGGCAGAGUAACGCGUAGGAACAUACCCCAAACUGAGGGAUAACUGCUCGAAAGAGUAGCUAAUACCGCAUGUGGUCUUCGGACUAAAGCUUCGGCGGUUUGGGAAUGGCCUGCGUUCGAUUAGCUAGUUGGUGAGGUAAUUGCUCACCAAGGCGACGAUCGAUAGCUGGUCUGAGAGGAUGAUCAGCCUGACUGGAACUGAGACACGGUCCAGACUCCUACGGGAGGCAGCAGUAGGGAAUUUUCCACAAUGGGCGAAAGCCUGAUGGAGCAAUACCGCGUGCAGGAUGAAAGGCCUUCGGGUCGUAAACUGCCUUUUAUGUGAGAAGAAUUUGACGGUAACACAUGAAUAAGGGUCGGCUAACUACGUG
rnacentral:rRNA from 1 species